rnacentral:rRNA from 1 species
ACGCCGUAAACGAUGAAUACUAGGUGUGGGGGUUUCAACACCUCCGUGCCGCCGCUAACGCAUUAAGUAUUCCGCCUGGGGAGUACGGUCGCAAGAUUAAAACUCAAAGGAAUUGACGGGGACCCGCACAAGUAGCGGAGCAUGUGGUUUAAUUCGAAGCAACGCGAAGAACCUUACCUACACUUGACAUCCCUUGCAUUACUCUUAAUCGAGGAAAUCCCUUCGGGGACAAGGUGACAGGUGGUGCAUGGUUGUCGUCAGCUCGUGUCGUGAGAUGUUGGGUUAAGUCCCGCAACGAGCGCAACCCUUGUCGUUAGUUACUACCAUUAAGUUGAGGACUCUAGCGAGACUGCCUGGGUUAACCAGGAGGAAGGUGGGGAUGACGUCAAAUCAUCAUGCCCCUUAUGUGUAGGGCUACACACGUGCUACAAUGGCUGGUACAGAGAGAUGCAAUACCGCGAGGUGGAGCCAAACUUAAAAACCAGUCUCAGUUCGGAUUGUAGGCUGAAACUCGCCUACAUGAAGCUGGAGUU